rnacentral:rRNA from 1 species
UAGGGAAUUUUCGUCAAUGGGGGCAACCCUGAACGAGCAAUGCCGCGUGAGUGAAGAAGUAUUUCGGUAUGUAAAGCUCUGUCAGCAGGGAAGAAAAUGACGGUACCUGACCAAGAAGCCCCGGCUAACUACGUGCC